AUGGUGGGACCGUUCAAGACAACACGUGUCGGCAUGACUCAUCUGCUUGUUGCCGUGGACAAAUUCACCAAGUGGAUAGAAGCGAAGCCAAUCAAGAAGUUGAAUGGUCCGAUUGCUGUGACUUUCAUCGCAGACAUCACCACUCGGUACGGCGUACCUCACAGCAUCAUCACCGACAAUGGCAUAAAUUUCGCCAAGGGCGCCUUGGCCCAUUUCUGUGCGACGCAGGGCAUUCGACUGGAGUUAGCGUUCGUUGCCCACCCACAGUCAAACGGCCAGGUUGAGCGAGCAAACGGCCUCAUUUUGUCCAGAAUCAAGCCCCGACUGAUCGAGGCUCUGGAGCGUUCGGACGGCUGUUGGCUCGACGAGCUGCCAGCUGUCCUCUGGAGUCUACACAUCACUCCAAACAAGUCAACCGGCUUCACACCCUUCUUCCUUGUAUAUGGUGCCAAGGCUGUCAUCCCAACUGACAUCGAGUUCGACUCACCUCGCGUCACCAUGUACACAGAGGCGGAGGCAAAGGAAACAAGAGAAGGCGGUGUCGAUCUGCUGGAAGAGGGCCGGCUGUUGGCACUCAGUCGGUCCGCCAUCUACCAGCAAAGUCUACGCCGCUACCACAGCCGGAAGGUCAAGCCAAGAUCCUUCCAAGAGGGAGACCUUGUGCUCCAACUGAUCCAGCGAACAGCCGGCCAACACAAGCUCUCGGCCCCUUGGGAAGGCCCUUUCAUCAUCAACAAAGCCUUGGGCAACGACUCCUACUACAUGAUCGAUGCCCAGAAGCCCAGGGCGCGGAAGAGGGACGACUCCGGCAAGGAAACAGAGCGCGCAUGGAAUGCAAAUCUCAUUCGAAGAUUUUACAGUUGA
rnacentral:rRNA from 1 species